rnacentral:lncRNA from 10 species
AUAUUUUUAUAAAUAAGUAAUAAUAAAUUGCUAAAAAGUUUUUAAAAAACAGAUAUGAUUCUUGCCUUAAAAAAGAUACAGGGCCGGGCGCGGUGGCUCACGCCUGUAGUCCCAGCACUUUGGGAGGCCGAGGCGGGCGGAUCACGAGGUCAGGAGAUCGAGACCACGGUGAAACCCCGUCUCUACUAAAAAUACAAAAAAUUAGCCGGGCGCAGUGGCGGGCGCCUGUAGUCCCAGCUACUCGGG